UGUUGUUCUGAUCCAGUCUUCGAGAUCACGGUGGCUUGGAGCGUAUCAGAUCGCUCCUUCGGGCCACAUACAUGGCAAGGGAGAGACAGAAUGGUUUUAAAGAUGUGCCAAAACUUUUCACUGAUGAUAAGCAAGAAUUUCCCUUUGCUACUGUGAUCUCACUGA